UGCACUGGAUCCCUGAUAGACGACGGGAGAGGGCUGCGGCCCAGAGCCCUGAAGCCCAGAGGUCUCGGGACGGGGAUACCGGUGACGUCGGGAGGCACCAACGGGUGUUCCGACGUGCGUUUCCCUCCCCGUAAUCACACCGUGGCGCUCAUCCGUCCAUCCUCGGCGUGCUAGCCAUCUUGGUAAAACAAAGGAGACUUAACGGGAAGUCCGGGGGCGCCCCGCAGAAAGAGGAAAAGAGCCAGAACGAAGAGGCGAAGAGAGAAGGAAAGAAACACACAAACACGCACGCGCACACAAAAACGCGCACACACAGAGCGAGAGCGAGAGCGAGAGCGAGAGCGAGAGCGAGAGCGAGCGCCCGAGCCCGGCUGCCUGUCCGUGGCUCCUGGGCGUCCGGGUCGCGGGACAGGGAUCCCAGGAGCGCUGCACUCCUGAGACCCUGUCUGCACGUCCCAGGGCCCCAGGGGUGAUCGCCAGCCCCAGGGCCCCCGCCUCCUUGCCCGGGCCCAGCUCAAGCACCACCGCCCUCCUGUGGGGAAGCUGCCUCUUGGGCAGGGCCUCUCUGUGUCAGCGUGAGCGUCUGUGUGUCUGUCCCGGGGGGUGUCUGUCUGGGUCCGUGUCUCGGAUCCUCUCAAUCUCUCUGUCUCUGCCUCUGUCUCUGUCUCUGUCUCUGUGUCUCUCAGGUCGGUCAGUCAGGAGCUGUCCAGGGUGGCCGCGGGGCCUGGGGUUGAGGGCGCGG